CUUCACACACUCCCUCUCACAAGUGCAGCUUUGUUCACGUGGGCCUUUCUUCGUUGCCUUCAAUUUCAUGCUAUGGUUGAUGGUUGAUUUAUUCUCAUCAUCGUCACCGCUGUAUUGGCUCUCUCUCCUCGAACCCUUCAGUGAGACGUGUGUUGUAGCCCAUUGGCUUUGUCUUUGAUGAUUGGGGUUAUCAUUUACGGAGUUUUCACAAGUACAUAAAGCAGAUAAAUGAUGCAGUUACAGUCGAAAGGCCAUGCUUGUGUCUUUGGGGGUUAUAUAGGGUUCUAGCUGAGUGAUAACUUCUAGUAGUUGCACCAAUUUUUCAAGACAAGGUAAACCCAUUUGUCCUUAAGGUUGUUUAAGAUUAAAGAUGGAUUCUUUUUCUUCUUUCAUUUCUAUCUGAUUUGUUGAUUCCCUAAUUUAUUUUUUGUUAAAGUUUUGUUCUUUUGGUGUAAUAGUGAGUUGUCUUUAUGUUGGCUCCUUGUAAUUAUGCACACAAUUUUUGUUUUUGUUUUUUGUUUUUUUGUUUUGCUUUAUCUGUCUGCUGUGUAAGCAGAUGGGAGAGACAGUGGCUUCCAAUCCUGCUUUGCAAGUUUCUGUUUCGUUUGGUAGAUUUGAGAAUGAUUCCUUGUCUUGGGAGAAAUGGUCUGCAUUCUCACCAAACAAGUACUUGGAAGAAGUUGAGAAGUGUGCAACACCUGGAUCAGUUGCUCAGAAAAAAGCGUACUUUGAAGCUCAUUACAAGAAUGUAGCAGCCCGAAAAGCUGAAUUGUUGGCUCAAGAGAAGCAAAUGGAGAAAGAUCCUCUCAGAUCACAGUAUCAAACUGGUGAAGAGCUGAGUCGUAACACUUGUGGGACUGAUGAAGAAUUUGAUGUGCACAAUACUCAAGGUUCCAGUGAAGGGGCUAAGCAAGAAACCAAUUCAACUCGUGAGACCAUAGCUACCCAUGUGGGUAAUUCGGAGGAGGAUGUUGCAGUUUCAAGAGAUUAUCAAAGUUCAUCAGUUGAGGGAGAGAAUGAAGAACUGGAAAGUAGAUCACGUGGUUUCCAGAUGGAUAAACAUGAAGAAGUUGUGUGCAUUGAACAAGAAGGUAAAGAAAGUGCUACCCUUGAAGCUGAAAGUGUGAAGGAAAUUUCACACCAUGUGGACAAUGAGACUGCAAAGGCUUUAGAAAUUGAAGCAAAACAUGUGACAUUGGAUCAUCCAAAGAUAUCUAAAAAGUUUGAACAGGUUACCCCUCUUAAUAGAGAAGGCAAUGUUGCAAAGAUGAAGAAGAAAUCGAAGCUACCUUCAUCAAAGGCAUCCGAAAUUUCUACUCCUAAAAGUUCGAAGCCUGCAUCAUCUCCCACCAAAACAUUGUCAUCUGCAUCUACAAAAAGGGGAAACUCUUCAUCCAUAUCUGGAAGGAAAAUUACUUCUACUGGAGAGAACAGAAAUGUUCCAAAUAAAUCUUUGCACAUGUCGCUUAGCUUGGCUCCAAGCAAACAUGACCCUGCUCCGCUUACAACAUUGAGGAAAUCUUUGAUUAUGGAAAAAAUGGGGGAUAAGGACAUAGUCAAACGAGCAUUCAAGACAUUCCAGAACAAUUUCAAUCAGCCAAAAAUUUCUGAUGAAGACAAAUCUUUGGUGAAAGAAAAGGUGUUUAGAAAUACGGAUAACUGUUUUAUAGUUGAUAAAAGGUUGUGUACCAGUAGAAAUUAGAAAAUCACUUUCGUUUGAGAAUAUUUUCCUACAUUUCUCUUGAGCAGGUUCCUUCAAGGGGGACAGAGCCAAGGCUUCCAACAUCUAUAGCAUUGCGAAAGGAAAAUGGACAGUCACCGAAGGUUGACAGCGCAGAUAAAAGAGGUGGGAAUGUUUUGCGAACUACUUUGGGCAUAAAAAGUGACAUAAGAGCAGAGAAAGGAAAAGAGUCUCCAAGAAAAAUAGAGGAAAAAAUUAAUGCAAAAGAGGUAGAAAGAACGCAUGUUCAAUUGAAAUCAAAGGAGGAAAAGCUAAAACAUAAUUUCAAAGCCACACCCGUGCCAACUUUUCAACGGGGUCAAAAAGUAUCCAAAAGCCACCCAGAAAAGGUAUACAUUAUAAAUUUUAUCAAAGGCACGUCAACAAGUAGGGUGAAGACUAACUAUGGCAUAUCUUUUCCUAUAUGAAUGGUACUUUGUUAACCUUUGUCUGGCAAUUUUUGUAAUUAAUGACUUAGCUUUUAAUUGAAGUCAGUCAAAACUUGUGUUGCUAAACUUAAUAAUCAGGUGAUUGUUGGCAAGUAAGGGAGCAUCAGUCUGACUUAUUUUGCUGUAAAAGGCGAACCUAUUUUCUGCCGAUGAACGUAGUGCUGCUUUAGUUGGUGGGUCACACAUGAGAUAAUGAUGAAAGUUCAUAUGGUCCACAAUCUAACAUCAUUUCAUGGAAUACACACUACUUGUAGGAUAAUAAUGUCUGGUUUGCUGAUAUAUUUUGUCAUUCCAUCAAGUCACCUAAUAAUGCCUUUGUUUCUUAAAUUCAGUAAAACAAAAAUUAUCUUUUUCCAUUAGGUGAGGUCCGCUAUGUAAAUUAAAUCACACCAUUGUGUUAAGAAUGGAAAAUCUAGAUCACAAUGAAAAUCCAAAAGGAUUGAAGUUAUUUUCCAUUCAAAUUUAAUUUCCAUCCAGAUAAAUCAUUUAUGUUAUAGAUUAUUUUUAACGUGCGUCCAAGGGCACACAAUAAAAAUCUAUAUUUAGUAAUUGUUUAUUGAAAAUUACAAUAUAUUACAUGAUUAAUGCAUUUUUAACAUUUAAGUGAUAUAAUUUUCUAAUUUCAAUAAAAAUUUACUUUUUUUUUAUUAAUUUCUUAAAACACACGCACUAGAAAAAUCAUAGUUUAUUUUCAACUCUAAAACUAAAACCGAAUCUAUUACGUUCCAUUACAUGAGCUGUGAACUUAAACAUAUCUAUAUCAAUAGUUACAGUGCAAUAUCAAUAAUUAUAUACAACUAUAUCUAUCUGCAAAAAUGAGGGAUUAAAACCACACAAGAAAGGAAAGGAGGCCUUUUUAAGUAGUAUUUUCUCAAUAAUUCAAAUUGUAGCUGACAAUGUCCUGUUAAAUUUAUUCAUCCUCUAUGGAGAAAAGUCUCUUCUAUAAUCUACAUUAACAGCUAUUUUGUCUUGUCUACUUAUGCAGGGGAAUGCUAAGAUUGAGAAAUGGCGGUAACCCCUUAAAGGGUAAAAGAGUCGAGAAAGAAGAGGUUAAAUACAUCAGUGGGCGUGUAAGAUCUGUAUUCCAAGGUGUAACGCUAUUUUAGUUUAGUCUACGACAAUUAUCUAGUUAUAUAGGACAAUGUGAGUAGGAAGGAGGAGUAAAGCAUAAGUUAUUGAUGAUAAAUUUCAUGGAAGAAAUAAUAUUGUAAAACUAUUAUGUCUAUAAUGUGAGAAAUGCAUGCAUUUCGUAUAUUGGGUUGCAUCAUGUCCAUUCUGUGGUAUCUUGUAUUUAUUUUUGUGUGGGAUCAAUGAAGGGAAGGGAAUGGAAAGUGGGGAUAUGGAGGGAUGGAACCUCUAUCGCAUAAAUGCAGGUCUCUGCCAAGUUUUAAACCCAAUAAUAUCCACACAAACAACUCCUCUUG